rnacentral:rRNA from 1 species
CUGGCGGCAGGCCUAACACAUGCAAGUCGAGCGCGCCUUCGGGUGAGCGGCGGACGGGUUAGUAACGCGUGGGAACGUGCCCUUCUCUACGGAAUAGCCUCUGGAAACGGAGAGUAAUACCGUAUACGCCCUUUGGGGGAAAGAUUUAUCGGAGAAGGAUCGGCCCGCGUUAGAUUAGGUAGUUGGUGGGGUAACGGCCUACCAAGCCUACGAUCUAUAGCUGGUUUUAGAGGAUGAUCAGCAACACUGGGACUGAGACACGGCCCAGACUCCUACGGGAGGCAGCAGUGGGGAAUCUUAGACAAUGGGGGCAACCCUGAUCUAGCCAUGCCGCGUGAGUGAUGAAGGCCUUAGGGUCGUAAAGCUCUUUCGCCUGUGAUGAUAAUGACAGUAGCAGGUAAAGAAACCCCGGCUAACUCCG